rnacentral:tRNA from 1 species
GGCGAUGUAGCUCAGCUGGUUAGAGCAUACGGCUCAUAUCCGUAAGGUCGCUGGUUCGAGUCCAGCCAUCGCUACCA